AGCUGCAAUGGCUGCAGGCUCCUGGACAUGCCUAAUUCUGGCUAUUGCCCUGCUCUGCCUACCUUGGCUUCAAGAGGGCAGUGCCUUCCCAACCAUUCCCUUAUCCUGGCUUUUUAACACGCUGUGUUCUGCGCCCAUCACCUGCACAAGCUGCAUCUGACACGUACCGAAGUUUCGAAGAAGCCUAUAUCCCAAAGGAACAGAAGUAUUCAUUCCUGCGCAACCCCGAGACCUCCCUCUGCUUCUCAGAGUCUAUUCCGACACCCUCCAACAAGGAGGAAACACAGCAGAAAUCCAACCUAGAGCUGCUCCACAUCUCCCUGCUGCUCAUCCAGUCGUGGCUGGAGCCCGUGCAGUUACUCAGGAGUGUGUUUACCAACAACCUGGUGUAUGCACUCGAACUUCAACGUCUAUCUCUACCUAAAGAACCUAGAGGAAGGCAUCCAAACGCUGAUGUGGAGGCUGGAAGACGGCAGCCCCCGGACUGGGCAGAUCUUCAAGCAGACCUACAGCAAGUUUGACACAAACUCGCACAACGAUGACACACUGCUCAAGAACUACAGGCUGCUCUACUGCUUCAGGAAGGACAUGAACAAGGUCGAGACAUUCCUGUGCACCGUGCGGUGCCGCGCUGUGGAGGGCAGCUGUGGCUUCUAGAUGCCUGGGUGGCAUCCCUUGUGACCCCUCCCAAUUGCCACUCCUGGCCAUGGAAGGUGCCACUCCAGUGUCCAACAGCCUUGUCCUAAUAAAAUUAAGUUGCAUCAUU